rnacentral:rRNA from 1 species
UACGUAGGGUGCAAGCGUUGUCCGGAAUUAUUGGGCGUAAAGAGCUCGUAGGCGGUUCGUCGCGUCGGCUGUGAAAUCCCGAGGCUCAACCUCGGGUCUGCAGUCGAUACGGGCGGACUGGAGUUCGGCAGGGGAGACUGGAAUUCCUGGUGUAGCGGUGAAAUGCGCAGAUAUCAGGAGGAACACCGGUGGCGAAGGCGGGUCUCUGGGCCGAUACUGACGCUAAGGAGCGAAAGCGUGGGGAGCGAACAGG